rnacentral:rRNA from 1 species
AGUGGAGGAAAAGAAACUAACAAGGAUUCCCCUAGUAACGGCGAGUGAAGCGGGAAGAGCUCAAAUUUAAAAUCUGGCAGGCUACGCUUGUCCGAAUUGUAAUCUCGAGAAGUGUUUUCCGCGUUGGCCUGUGUACAAGUCCCUUGGAACAGGGCGUCAUAGAGGGUGAGAAUCCCGUCCUUGACACAGACACCCAAUGCUUUGUGAUACACUCUCAAUGAGUCGAGUUGUUUGGGAAUGCAGCUCAAAAUGGGUGGUAAAUUCCAUCUAAAGCUAAAUACUGGCGAGAGACCGAUAGCGAACAAGUACCGUGAGGGAAAGAUGAAAAGCACUUUGGAAAGAGAGUCAAACAGUACGUGAAAUUGUUGAAAGGGAAACGAUUGAAGUCAGUCGUGCCUGCCUAGUCUCAGCCUUUUGGUGUACUACUAGGUCGGCAGGUCAGCAUCAGUUUGGGAGGAUUAACAAGGGAGCUAGGAAUGUGGCAACCUCGGUUGUGUUAUAGCCUAGUUUCGCAUUGAUCUUGCUGGACUGAGGAACGCAGUGCGCCCGCAAGGGUUGGUCUUCGGACACAUCGCACU